AUGGUCUCAUCUUUAGAUAAACGGUGUCAGUCCGGUUUUACUAAUCUUCCUGUCUGUUCUAUAAAUCUGGUUUAGGAAAGAAAACUAGACUUAUUUUCUAGAUAUGAACCAUGCAAAAGAACACUGUAAUCAAUAUGGUGGCAAUCCUAUGUGAUGGAAGGAAAUUAUUUGCAUUUUACGAGCUGCUUGUUGAUGUGUUUUUCCUGCAGGGAUUGAUAGAGCACCAUCGAGAAAUUGUAGAAUACUUCAAUCAUCGGGGUGUUUCUGCCAUAUUUCUCUUCCGAAGAAAUCUGCUUCGAAGGAUGGUUUCAGUACUCGCGAAUUCGCUGCCGCACUUUCGAGUUACAAGCCAAUCAUCAAUUCUACAUCAUUAAUAAGUGAACUCAAAGAAGCAGAAAUGGCCGUUGUUAGGGCUUUAGAGUACUUCAAUAGCACCCGUCACAUGGUUUUGUACUACGAGGAUCUUGUCACAAACCAUACGAAACUCAAAGAUGUUCAAGAGUUCCUAGGCCUUCCACAGAUGGAAUUAACUAGUGGCCAGGUUAAGAUACUCAAAGGUCCGUUAUCGGAUUUGGUAAACAAUUGGGAUGAUGUCAACAAGACUCUAAAAGGGACCAAAUAUGAGAGAUUCCUUCACGCCGACUAUUAAGAAUGACUGUCAC